AGCGAACGCUGGCGGCAGGCCUAACACAUGCAAGUCGAACGAACUCUUCGGAGUUAGUGGCGGACGGGUGAGUAACACGUGGGAACGUGCCUUUUGGUUCGGAAUAACUCAGGGAAACUUGUGCUAAUACCGAAUGUGCCCUUCGGGGGAAAGAUUUAUCGCCAUUAGAGCGGCCCGCGUCUGAUUAGCUAGUUGGGGAGGUAACGGCUGACCAAGGCGACGAUCAGUAGCUGGUCUGAGAGGAUGACCAGCCACACUGGGACUGGGACACGGCCCAGACUCCUACGCGAGGCAGCAGUGGGGAAUCUUGCGCAAUGGGCGAAAGCCUGACGCAGCCAUGCCGCGUGAAUGAUGAAGGUCGUAGGAUUGUAAAAUUCUUUCACCGGGGACGAUAAUGACGGUACCCGGAGAAGAAGCCCCGGCUAACUUCGUG
rnacentral:rRNA from 1 species